AACAAACGCUGGCGGCGUGCCUAAUACAUGCAAGUCGAACGGGGAAAGUUCUUCGGAAUGAGUACUAGUGGCGUACGGGUGAGCAACACGUGGAUAAUCUUCCUUCAGGUGGGGAAUAACGGGUCGAAAGAUUCGCUAAUACCGCAUAAGGCCACAGUAACUUUGGUUACAGGGGUUAAAGACUUCGGUCGCCUUUAGAUGAGUCUGCGUCCGAUUAGCUAGUUGGUGAGGUAAUGGCUCACCAAGGCGACGAUCGGUAACUGGUCUGAGAGGACGGCCAGUCACACUGGGACUGAGACACGGCCCAGACUCCUACGGGAGGCAGCAGUAGGGAAUUUUGCACAAUGGAGGAAACUCUGAUGCAGCGACGCCGCGUGAGUGAUGAAGGCCUUCGGGUCGUAAAGCUCUGUUCUCAGGG
rnacentral:rRNA from 1 species